CAUUGGCAGACUGGGAAAUCUCUGCAGGCAAAUGUGAUGUCACUGAAGAAACCACACACUUACCUGUAGAGAUUCUUCAGUCUGACAAC
rnacentral:pre_miRNA from 7 species